UACGAAGGGGGCUAGCGUUGUCCGGAUUUACUGGGCGUAAAGGGCGCGUAGGCGGCAAUUCAAGUCAGCUGUGAAAUCUCCGGGCUUAACUCGGAACGGUCAGCUGAUACUGCUUUGCUAGAGUGCAGAAGGGGCAAUCGGAAUUCUUGGUGUAGCGGUGAAAUGCGUAGAUAUCAAGAGGAACACCUGAGGUGAAGACGGGUUGCUGGGCUGACACUGACGCUGAGGCGCGAAAGCUAGGGUAGCAAACGGG
rnacentral:rRNA from 1 species